UUCCACUGAUAAAUCUUUCAUCCAUUGAUACAUAAUAUAUGAAGCAACAAAAACUCCAAAGAAGAAGAAAUUUGAGAGAGAAGUAAAACCCUAGUUUUGCUUUUAAUUACAAAGCCCCAAAUCACCACCACCGCUGCUCGCCGGCCAUUUUUCCGGUGUUGUAUUUGCUUCCGCAAAUUCUGCGUGUUGUGUUGUGUUGCUUCACGGAAUCUCAAAAGAUAACAAAGGGAGCGGCAAUGUCGUCUUCUGCUGUGUCGGUUCGUGAUAACGUGAUCAAUUUGGAAGUUCGUGAAAGAUCAAUCCGUUCAGAAGGUGAAUCUCUCAAUAAGUUGGAUGACGAUACACUUGUUCAAAUUCUUUGUGGUUUGCCCCUCAAAGAUGCGGCAAGAACGAGUGUCCUUUCACGCAGAUGGAGGCACUUAUGGCGCCGUUCACUCAUGUAUCCGUUGAAUAAUAUGUAAAUUUCCAUCAAGAACCAAAUGCAAGUACUAUGACCCGUAAAUGAAUCUUGAGAUGAUGUUUAUAAAACAGAUGUUGGUGAAGAUAAUAGAGAAAGCAGAGGAAGAUAGUAAAGUUACCUUUAGGUGAUUUACAUGAAAAUGUUCAUAGCUAAAAUGUUUUAGAUACUUUUUGUUGUUCUUAGGUAUGCUCCCCACCCCCACCCAAAACCCCCCUUUUUAAGUUAAUGUGACAUUUGGUUUAUGGAAUUGUAUGAAAAAUAAUCAGAAGUGUUCAUCCAACUUCUGAAUUUUUCUUUGCAAAACAUAGAAGGAAAUGCAUGUUUGUCUUCCUACAAA